rnacentral:rRNA from 1 species
UAAUUAGAGGCUGGAAUGAAGGAGGCGACGAAAGCUAGACUAUCAAGAUUUUAGUGUAAGUUGACAAUCGGGUUAAAAGGCCCGGGUGAACCGGGGGGACGACAAGACCCUAUAAAACUUUACUUUUAGCGCGGGGCUAAGCGGGAGUGGCUUUUGUGCCUAAUGGUUUUGCUGGGGCGGCGCAGAUACAAACAAUUUGAGGUUUAAUAUGUUAAAUAAUGAGGCAGAACUCGUAGAGAAAUAGAAUAAGUUACUUUAGGGAUAACAGCGUAAUUGCCCUAGAGAGUCCUUAUCGACAGGGCAG